rnacentral:rRNA from 3 species
GACGAACCGAGCGAACGUUGUUCGGAAUCACUGGGCUUAAAGGGCGCGUAGGCGGGUGCUCAAGUCCGGGGUGAAAUCCUCCAGCUCAACUGGAGAACUGCCUCGGAUACUGGGUGCCUCGAGGGUGGUAGGGGUAUGCGGAACUAUCGGUGGAGCGGUGAAAUGCGUUGAUAUCGAUAGGAACUCCGGUGGCGAAGGCGGCAUACUGGACCACAUCUGACGCUGAGGCGCGAAAGCCAGGGGAGCAAACGGG